rfam:Gossypium hirsutum cultivar TM-1 chromosome 1, whole genome shotgun sequence
UAUAAAUAAUUUCAUCUAUUUCUAUUGUUAAAAACUAGUGUUGCUAAUAGAAUAACCAAACAGUUACAUAUGAUAUGUCACAUGUACCUCAUUCUAACAUAAAUGAACCAGUUUUUAACAGUAGAAUUGAUGAUUUUUUUAAUA